AUUUGAUGAUUGGGGCAGCUCGCGCACAGUGUUUUGAAACGUUCCCAAUACUCAUGCAUUGUUUCUCCAUUGUGUUGCUUAAAUCCGCAUAUCUUCUUCCUUAUACU
rnacentral:snoRNA from 1 species